rnacentral:lncRNA from 1 species
GGAAGAAGGGGCAAGCAGCCUAGCACCGGAUUUACAAACACAAAUUGACGAGACACUCGAAGAGAUAACCCCACACUGUGUAUUAGAACUUUUAGCCUUGCCUCUUGACGAUGAGCAUCGAGCGCGAAGAGAAGNNNNNNNNNNNNNNNNNNNNNNNNNNNNNNNNUUUUAGCCUUGCCUCUUGACGAUGAACAUCGAGCGCGAAGAGAAGAAGGUCUCCAAGGUGUCCGCAACAUUCUAUGGGCAGUUGGAGGUGGAGGAGCAGCAGCAAUUGCUGGGAGUUUCACACGUGAAGAUUUCAUGAAUGAGGCAUUCCUGCAUAUGAAAGCAGCUGAACAGGUGUUAAUAGAAUAUUGUGUGCAUGCUUUUCUUUUAAUUUUCUUUCUUCCCCCUUGUUUUUUGUUUAUCAAUAAUUUAUAUUCAUCUCUUUCUUAUCUCCCAUCUUUGUUUUUUGAAGGUCGAACUUUUUGUAGCAACACCUAGUAAUAUUCCAGCUGAAAGUUUUGAGGCGUAUGGGGUGGCACUUGCAUUGGUUGCACAAGCCUUUGUAGGUAAAAAGCCACAUCUUAUCCAAGAUGCAGAUAACUUAUUCCAUCAACUUCAACAAACUAAGGUAACAAAUAUGAGGAAUGCUCCCUCUGUUUAUACUCCAAUGGAGAUGGAGAAGAGAGAGGUUG